GACGAACGCUGGCGGCGUGCCUAAUACAUGCAAGUUGAGCGCUGAAGGUUGGUACUUGUACCAACUGGAUGAGCAGCGAACGGGUGAGUAACGCGUGGGGAAUCUGCCUUUGAGCGGGGGACAACAUUUGGAAACGAAUGCUAAUACCGCAUAAAAACUUUAAACACAAGUUUUAAGUUUGAAAGAUGCAAUUGCAUCACUCAAAGAUGAUCCCGCGUUGUAUUAGCUAGUUGGUGAGGUAAAGGCUCACCAAGGCGAUGAUACAUAGCCGACCUGGGAGGGUGGUCGGCCAAAUUGGGAAUGAGACAAGGCCCAAAAUCCUACGGGAGGCAGCAGUAGGGAAUCUUCGGCAAUGGACGGAAGUCUGACCGAGCAACGCCGCGUGAGUGAAGAAGGUUUUCGGAUCGUAAAACUCUGUUGGUAGAGAAGAACGUUGGUGAGAGUGGAAAGCUCAUAAAGUGACGGUAACUACCCAGAAAGGGACGGCUAACUACGUG
rnacentral:rRNA from 1 species